UACGUAGGGUGCAAGCGUUUGUCCGGAAUUAUUGGGCGUAAAGAGCUCGUAGGCGGUUUGUUGCGUCGGCUGUGAAAUCCCGAGGCUCAACCUCGGGUCUGCAGUCGAUACGAGCAAACUAGAGUGUUGCAGGGGAGACUGGAAUUCCUGGUGUAGCGGUGAAAUGCGCAGAUAUCAGGAGGAACACCGGUGGCGAAGGCGGGUCUCUGGGCCGAUACUGACGCUGGAGGAGCGAAAGCGUGGGGAGCGAACAGG
rnacentral:rRNA from 1 species